rnacentral:rRNA from 1 species
UACGUAGGGUGCGAGCGUUAAUCGGAAUUACUGGGCGUAAAGCGUGCGCAGGCGGUUCGCUAAGACCGAUGUGAAAUCCCCGGGCUCAACCUGGGAACUGCAUUGGUGACUGGCGGGCUAGAGUAUGGCAGAGGGGGGUAGAAUUCCACGUGUAGCAGUGAAAUGCGUAGAGAUGUGGAGGAAUACCGAUGGCGAAGGCAGCCCCCUGGGCCAAUACUGACGCUCAUGCACGAAAGCGUGGGGAGCAAACAGG